AUUGAACGCUGGCGGCAGGCCUAACACAUGCAAGUCGAACGAGGGGCGGACGGGUGAGUAGUGUCUGGGAAACUGCCAGAUGGAGGGGGAUAAAGACUGAAAAGGGUAGCAAAACCCGCAAACCAGCGGAUGUGCCCAGAUGGGAUUAGAGAGUGGGUGGGGUAAGGGCUCACCUAGGCGACGAUCCCUAGCUGGUCUGAGAGGAUGACCAGCCACACUGGAACUGAGACACGGUCCAGACUCCUACGGGAGGCAGCAGUGGGGAAUAUUGCACAAUGGGCGCAAGCCUGAUGCAGCCAUGCCGCGUGUAUGAAGAAGGCCUUCGGGUUGUAAAGUACUUUCAGCGAGGAGGCGUUAUUCGCAGAAGAAGCACCGGCUAACUCCGUGCCAGCAGCCGCGGUAAUUC
rnacentral:rRNA from 1 species